GAGAUAACUCCUACGGGAGGCAGCAGUGGGGAAUUUUGGACAAUGGGGGCAACCCUGAUCCAGCAAUGCCGCGUGAGUGAAGAAGGCCUUCGGGUUGUAAAGCUCUUUUGUCAGGGAAGAAACGGUAGUAGCUAAUAUCUAUUACUAAUGACGGUACCUGAAGAAUAAGCACCGGCUAACUACGUGCCAGCAGCCGCGGUAAUACGUAGGGUGCAAGCGUUAUUCGGAAUUACUGGGCGUCAAGCGUGCGCAGGCGGUUGUGUAAGUCAGAUGUGAAAUCCCCGGGCUCAACCUGGGAAUUGAAUUUGAGACUGCACGUCUAGAGUGUGUCAGAGGGGGGUAGAAUUCCACGUGUAGCAGUGAAAUUCGUAGAUAUGUGGAGGAAUACCGAUGGCGAAGGCAGCCCCCUGGGAUAACACUGACGCUCAUGCACGAAAGCGUGGGGAGCAAACAGGAUUAGAUACCCUAGUAGUCCUCCACU
rnacentral:rRNA from 1 species